rnacentral:lncRNA from 1 species
AUGUGACUUCUGCACCUCAUCUCUGGGAUGGUUUCAGUGGGUCCUAGAUUGCUUUCUGUGCUCCCUGGGACAGUUGGUGGCACUCUGUGAGACUACUCUGAGGUACCCUUACAAGCUACUCUUAAUUUUCCCCGCUGUUCUGCUUGUUGGACAUGGCAUCAUGCUGCAAUGUUAACAGUCUUUCAAAGCUAAGCGCGGAGGAUGUGAUUCCAUCCCUGGCAGUUCUUAGAUUCCCUACCAGUCCUUUCCAUCAUGGGCUCCUGUGGAAAAUGACCCCAGCUCAGCUCAGUAGUUGAUGGGACAUCUGAUUCAGGUUGGACCCAGCCCAGACAUCUGAUUCAAACAAUAUUCUUCUCCAGGAAUUUUGUAACCAGCACUGGUAAAGGGAGGGAAGUGCUCCCCAGUGGGGAGAGCUGCAGAAUGUGAGACUUGGAAACCAAAGGCCGCCAUGUUUUCUGUCUCAUGAUGGAAUCCAAUCUUCUUUGGCGGGGAAAAUAAAUGAAGCCAACACCAGACAACAUAUAUCAAGCAGGGGCCAUUGCUCCAGCCUGACUCCAGGAAUCAGCAGACAGCGCAGCCUCAUUCUCCACCUGCUCCCUGCAGUACAGCCUCAGAACCACACAGUUGCAGCCAACCAGCUCCUGACAUGGAACUUGAGCAACAAAUGCCCUUUGUUUUUGCAAGUCCCUGAGAUUUGGAAGUUGUUACACAGCAUUCUCUCAGCCAGAAGUGACUGACAUGGUAUCAUUGCAGUCUUGAUCAAUUUGCCCUAUGCAAAGUGUUUUUAUAUGCCAUGAAUUUCUGAAGAUAGAACUACUGUUAUUCCCCAUGCAGCAGCUGAGGAAACUGAGUCUUAGAAUGUAUAAACAACUUUCCCAAGGCUACUGAAAGUGAUGGGAAUCAAAUAUAUCUUUGCCUAACUCCAGAUCCCAUGCUUUUGAAGAUAUUUAUACUGCCUAAAGCUGUAACAGACUUUUCUAAUAGUCAUACAUGGCAUAUUUAGUUGCUCUCCAUGGGGAAAUAAUGACCUGACAUGGAAAAUAUUGGUGUACUUUAUUAUGAGAUUCUAAUAAGCAACCAUUAUACAUGUAUAUAAUAUAUACAUGCAACCUCUUAAGCUUAUGCCAUUCUGUAUGGAUGUUACUAGCUUGAAGAAAUUCUAAAGAGUAGGGAUAUUAAAAAUACUGAGCCAAUAAAGUAGGAUAAUUUUUUUAUUGUAGUCAAUUUUCAUUUAUAAUAUUAAAUUCUUGCACUCCCUUUCAAA